UACGGAGGUGGCAAGCGUUGCUCGGAAUCACUGGGCGUAAAGGGCGCGUAGGCGGGGAGGUAAGUCGGGUGUGAAAUCCCUCGGCCCAACCGAGGAACUGCGCCCGAGACUGCUUCUCUUGAGUCCCGGAGAGGAAGAUGGAAUUCCCGGUGUAGCGGUGAAAUGUGUAGAGAUCGGGAGGAACACCAUAGCGAAGGCAGCUUACUAAGGAGUAACUGACGCUGAGGCACGAAAGUGUGGGGAUCAAACGGG
rnacentral:rRNA from 1 species